AGAGCAUCUGGGAGGCCACUGCCUUCAGUGCAGGGCUGGCCUCGCCUGAGUCCACAGCUCGGCUCUGCCCUCUGAAUGUGUUUAGGGUGUUUUAGGGAAGGUGGGGUGGACACAUGACAGAAUCCCAGGACGGCAUCCACAGCUUUGGAAGGUGGAGCUGGCUCUCAAUCUGAUGGUGGACCAGACAGAUGCUCAGUGCUAGGUGUGAGGAUCCCACAGGGAUAGAGGCAACAGGAGGAAGCGAUCCAGGCCUUCUCCUCAGAUGAGGUAGUCCAUUCAGACAAUGGUAGCAGGAGUUUGGGGGUGAGUCGGGUGCGUGGGACAUUCCUGGUGGAAGAGGGGGGACCCUGGGGUUGCGAGGGUCAGAUGCUAGGGCUGCAGUGCUGCUCAUUGCUGGAUGGAGUAGGACACGCGUGGAGACAGGAGCUGAAGAUGAUCUGUUCAAGGCCAACCUGGAUUACAGGAUACCCCGAGUCAAAAAACAAAGAACAAGAAGCAGGCAAGAUGCUCAGUGAGAUUAAUUAAAUGAAUUUGCUGCCAAGCUUGACCUGAUUCAAGCUUCCAUAUUACAAUGGUAGGAGAGAACCAACCGGUUCCCACAGGUUGUACUCUGAUUGCCACGCACACGUGCCCAGAUGCAAAUAAAUAAAACAUAAUAAAAACAA